AAUGAACGCUGGCGGCGUGGAUUAGGCAUGCAAGUCCAGGGGGAAAAUUCCCUUCGGGGGAUGAGUACACCGGCGAACUGGUUAGUAACAGGUGGGGAACGUGCCCCGAGGCCGGGGAUAACCGUCUGGAAACAGCGGCUAAGACCCGAUUCGGCCCGGCAGUCUUCGGAUAGCCGGCGCCAAAGGGCGCUCCUUCGGGAGUGCCGCCGCGGGAUCGCCCCGCCCCCGAUUAGCUAGAUGGCGAGGUAACGGCUCACCAUGGCUGCGAUCGGUAGCUGGUCUGAGAGGAUGGUCAGCAACACUGGGACUGAGAUACGGCCCAGACUCCUACGGGAGGCAGCAGUCUAGAAGCUUCCGCAAUGGGCGAAAGCCUGACGGAGCGACGCCGCGUGCGCGAAGAAGGCCUCGGUUGUAAGUACGC
rnacentral:rRNA from 1 species